rnacentral:rRNA from 1 species
CGCUGGCGGCGUGCUUAACACAUGCAAGUCGAACGGUGAAGCAGAGCUUGCUCUGUGGAUCAGUGGCGAACGGGUGAGUAACACGUGAGCAACCUGCCCCUGACUCUGGGAUAAGCGCUGGAAACGGCGUCUAAUACUGGAUAUGUGACGUGACCGCAUGGUCUGCGUCUGGAAAGAAUUUCGGUUGGGGAUGGGCUCGCGGCCUAUCAGCUUGUUGGUGAGGUAAUGGCUCACCAAGGCGUCGACGGGUAGCCGGCCUGAGAGGGUGACCGGCCACACUGGGACUGAGACACGGCCCAGACUCCUACGGGAGGCAGCAGUGGGGAAUAUUGCACAAUGGGCGGAAGCCUGAUGCAGCAACGCCGCGUGAGGGAUGACGGCCUUCGGGUUGUAAACCUCUUUUAGCAGGGAAGAAGCGAAAGUGACGGUACCUGCAGAAAAAGCGCCGGCUAACUACGUGCCAGCAGCCGCGGUAAUACGUAGGGCGCAAGCGUUAUCCGGAAUUAUUGGGCGUAAAGAGCUCGUAGGCGGUUUGUCGCGUCUGCUGUGAAAUCCGGAGGCUCAACCUCCGGCCUGCAGUGGGUACGGGCAGACUAGAGUGCGGUAGGGGAGAUUGGAAUUCCUGGUGUAGCGGUGGAAUGCGCAGAUAUCAGGAGGAACACCGAUGGCGAAGGCAGAUCUCUGGGCCGUAACUGACGCUGAGGAGCGAAAGGGUGGGGAGCAAACAGGCUUAGAUACCCUGGUAGUCCACCCCGUAAACGUUGGGAACUAGUUGUGGGGUCCAUUCCACGGAUUCCGUGACGCAGCUAACGCAUUAAGUUCCCCGCCUGGGGAGUACGGCCGCAAGGCUAAAACUCAAAGGAAUUGACGGGGACCCGCACAAGCGGCGGAGCAUGCGGAUUAAUUCG